GCCACGGUCGCAUAACCUGGUAUUGCGCGGGAUUGCUAAUUCCGUCCCUCUGGGAUCGUCGGUUCAAAUCCGGCCCGUGGCG
rnacentral:tRNA from 1 species